rnacentral:tRNA from 1 species
CAGUGAGUGGUUUAAGUGUUGAGAAUGUGGGUUUUGGGGACCUUUGGUCUGUGUUGGCAGCUCACUGA